rnacentral:tRNA from 1 species
AAGGGUAUAGCUUAGUGGUAGAGUGCGUGCUUAGCAUGCACAAGGUCUUGGGUUUAAUCCCCAGUACCUCCA